UAAAUCUAAUUCAAUCAUUCCCCAAAAGCCAUUCGAAAAUCUUUUUAAAACUGUUUCCCACACGGAAACUCUAUUUUGAAAACCAGCUACCUCGAGGGGUAGAAAUCCAUGAUGUAUAAAUACAAAAAUAUCCGAUAUCCAUAAAACCAACAUCCAAAUCCGCAAACCUCAGUUCACAUGCAUAAAUAACGAAAACAUCCACAGAUCUACCAAAACUAGAUCACCAACAUUCAAACAAUCAUAAAGAUCAGCUAAACUGAACCAUUAUUUAAAUGACUACUAAAGGCGGGAAAGAAAUACAACCAGGGUGGCGAUCGCUAUACCAGACUAGCUAGAUCGUCCUCUCGUCGAGCCCAAAAUCCAACUCCUCGUCUAUGUCAC
rnacentral:lncRNA from 1 species